UACGGAGGAUGCGAGCGUUAUCCGGAUUUAUUGGGUUUAAAGGGUGCGUAGGCGGUCCGUUAAGUCAGCGGUAAAAUUGCGGGGCUCAACCCCGUCGAGCCGUUGAAACUGUCAGACUUGAGUUGGCGAGGAGUACGCGGAAUGCGCGGUGUAGCGGUGAAAUGCAUAGAUAUCGCGCAGAACUCCGAUUGCGAAGGCAGCGUACCGGCGCCACACUGACGCUGAGGCACGAAAGCGUGGGGAUCGAACAGG
rnacentral:rRNA from 1 species